rnacentral:rRNA from 1 species
UAGAAUUCCACGUGUAGCGGUGAAAUGCGGAGAGAUGUGGAGGAAUACCGGUGGCGAAGCGCUUCUGACAGAUACUGACGCUGAGAUGCGAAAGCGUGGGGAGCAAACAGGAUUAGAUACCUGGUAGUCCACGCUGUAAACGAUGUCGAUUUGGAGUUUGUUGCCUAGAGUGAUGGGCUCCGAAGCUAACGCGAUAAAUCGACCGCCUGGGGAGUACGGCCGCAAGGUUAAAACUCAAAUGAAUUGACGGGGGCCCGCACAAGCGGUGGAGCAUGUGGUUUAAUUCGAUGCAACGCGAAGAACCUUACCUGGUCUUGACAUCCACAGAAUCUUGCAGAGAUGUGAGAGUGCCUUCGGGAACUGUGAGACAGGUGCUGCAUGGCUGUCGUCAGCUCGUGUUGUGAAAUGUUGGGUUAAGUCCCGCAACGAGCGCAACCCUUAUCCUUUGUUGCCAUCGGUUAGGCCGGGAACUCAAAGGAGACUGCCGUUGAUAAAGCGGAGGAAGGUGGGGACGACGUCAAGUCAUCAUGGCCCUUACGACCAGGGCUACACACGUGCUACAAUGGCGUAUACAAAGGGAGGCGACCUCGCGAGAGCAAGCGGACCUCAUAAAGUACGUCUAAGUCCGGAUUGGAGUCUGCAACUCGACUCCAUGAAGUCGGAAUCGCUAGUAAUCAUGAAUCAGAAUGU